AAGAACCUGAAACCGUGUACGUACAAGCAGUGGGAGCACGCUUCGGCGUGUGACUGCGUACCUUUUGUAUAAUGGGUCAGCGACUUAUAUUCUGUAGCAAGGUUAACCGAAUAGGGGAGCCGAAGGGAAACCGAGUCUUAACUGGGCGUUAAGUUGCAGGGUAUAGACCCGAAACCCGGUGAUCUAGCCAUGGGCAGGUUGAAGGUUGGGUAACACUAACUGGAGGACCGAACCGACUAAUGUUGAAAAAUUAGCGGAUGACUUGUGGCUGGGGGUGAAAGGCCAAUCAAACCGGGAGAUAGCUGGUUCUCCCCGAAAGCUAUUUAGGUAGCGCCUCGUGAAUUCAUCUCCGGGGGUAGAGCACUGUUUCGGCAAGGGGGUCAUCCCGACUUACCAACCCGAUGCAAACUGCGAAUACCGGAGAAUGUUAUCACGGGAGACACACGGCGGGUGCUAACGUCCGUCGUGAAGAGGGAAACAACCCAGACCGCCAGCUAAGGUCCCAAAGUCAUGGUUAAGUGGGAAACGAUGUGGGAAGGCCCAGACAGCCAGGAUGUUGGCUUAGAAGCAGCCAUCAUUUAAAGAAAGCGUAAUAGCUCACUGGUCGAGUCGGCCUGCGCGGAAGAUGUAACGGGGCUAAACCAUGCACCGAAGCUGCGGCAGCGACACUAUGUGUUGUUGGGUAGGGGAGCG
rnacentral:rRNA from 1 species